rnacentral:lncRNA from 1 species
CUGCUGUUGUGAUGAUGAAGGGAUAUAGACCCCUGCAAGCAGAGUGCUCAGUGCCGCCUGAAGGGCAAAGAGAGGAAAUGAAGGAAGCACUUGAACAAAGACCACAAAUUCAACAGCUGGGAAGGCAUUAUGGAGAAAUCAUUAUGACAGGUUUUCUUUUUUCUUCAGUUUUGUCUAAAAGGAACCAAAGAACUGAUGAAAUUUACUCUUAGACCAAAUAUUCCUUUGAAAACAUGAGCAUGAUCCAUUUGCCAAGAGACAUGUACUAAAACAUGAUAUCUAUUUACUAUUUUUUUGGUUUCUAAACUAAACUGACAUGAAACGAGUUCUAAAAAUAUUUAAGAAAUGGG